UAAGUUUUAGCAUUAAUUAACCAUCCCAAUCUUUCUGGCUACUUCAAUUGCCAGAAAUUCCAUACCUCGUUAUACAUAAGUGAAAUUCUACUUUACUUAUUUUCAAAAUAAUAAUCAACAACUGGCAUUAUGUUGAAGUUAACUAAAGUUAUAUACAUUUAUUUUUGCAGAAAACUGCACACUAAAAAGAAGAAUUGAUAUUCCUAAAGGAUAUUUUAACGUAGAUGGGUGUAAGAACCAGAAGAAUAUAAUAAAUUUGGGUGAUUGCGAAGGCGAAUGUGAUACAAGAUCCAAAUACGAGUACGAGUACGAGUCAAACGGUGUCACAUAUACGAAGAAUUGUUCUUGCUGUAUACCUACUAGAUACAAAGAAGUUGCUAUUAAAUUGUAUUGUGAUAAAAAUGAUACAACUGUCGAUCAUUCUAUUAAAGAACCAGCAGAAUGCAGAUGUGAGCCCUGCAAUUUGCAAAAGAAAUAAUGUGUGUAACACAUAUUCUAUAUGUAGCCUAUUUUGAUAAUUGAAAUUAUAUGAUAUGUAAAAUUGAAAAUUUUGGUGAAUGGUAAUUAUAUAGCCACACAUAGUUACAUAAAUAAUCAAUUAAUAUAAAUAUGUAAUCUGUAAAUUUCAUUGGUUUUUGGUUGUUGUAUCUUACCCAAUUAUUCAAA